rnacentral:rRNA from 1 species
UACGUAGGGUGCAAGCGUUAAUCGGAAUUACUGGGCGUAAAGCGUGCGCAGGCGGUUGUGCAAGACCGAUGUGAAAUCCCCGGGCUUAACCUGGGAACUGCAUUUGUGACUGCAAGGCUAGAGUACGGCAGAGGGGGAUGGAAUUCCGCGUGUAGCAGUGAAAUGCGUAGAUAUGCGGAGGAACACCAAUGGCGAAGGCAAUCCCCUGGGCCUGUACUGACGCUCAUGCACGAAAGCGUGGGGAGCAAACAGG